rnacentral:rRNA from 1 species
GACGAACGCUGGCGGCGUGCUUAACACAUGCAAGUCGAACGAUGAAGCCGGAGCUUGCUCUGGUGAAUUAGUGGCGAACGGGUGAGUAACACGUGAGUAACCUGCCCUUGACUCUGGGAUAACUGCGGGAAACUGUAGCUAAUACCGGAUACGACCCUCGGAGGCAUCUCCUGGGGGUGGAAAGAAUUUCGGUCAAGGAUGGACUCGCGGCCUAUCAGCUAGUUGGUGAGGUAAAGGCUCACCAAGGCGACGACGGGUAGCCGGCCUGAGAGGGUGACCGGCCAAACUGGGACUGAGACACGGCCCAGACUCCUACGGGAGGCAGUAGUGGGGAAUAUUGCACAAUGGGCGCAAGCCUGAUGCAGCAACGCCGCGUGAGGGAUGGCGGCCUUCGGGUUGUAAACCUCUUUUAGCAGGGAAGAAGCGAAAGUGACGGUACCUGCAGAAAAGGCACCGGCUAACUACGUGCCAGCCGCCGCAGUAA